rnacentral:rRNA from 1 species
GAUGAACGCUGACAGAAUGCUUAACACAUGCAAGUCGAUUCGAUUUACCUUCGGGUAUUGAGGAUGGCGGACGGGUGAGUAACGCGUAAGGAACUUGCCUCUUGGUCUGGGACAACUGUUGGAAACGACAGCUAAUACCGGAUAUUAUGAGAUUCUCGCAUGGGAAACUUAUGAAAGCUAUAUGCGCCAAGAGAGAGCCUUGCGUUCCAUUAGCUAGUUGGUGGGGUAACGGCCCACCAAGGCGACGAUGGAUAGCCGGCCUGAGAGGGUGAACGGCCACAAGGGGACUGAGACACGGCCCUUACUCCUACGGGAGGCAGCAGUGGGGAAUAUUGGACAAUGGGCCACAAGCCUGAUCCAGCAAUUCUGUGUGCACGAUGAAGGUCUUCGGAUUGUAAAGUGCUUUCAGUUGGGAAGAAGAAAGUGACGGUACCAACAGAAGAAGCGACGGCUAAAUACGUGCCAGCAGCCGCGGUAAUACGUAUGUCGCAAGCGUUAUCCGGAUUUAUUGGGCGUAAAGCGCGUCUAGGCGGAAAAAUAANUCUGAUGUUAAAAUGCGGGGCUCAACUCCNUAUUGCGUUGGAAACUGUUUUUCUAGAGUACUGGAGAGGUGGGCGGAACUACAAGUGUAGAGGUGAAAUUCGUAGAUNUUUGU